rnacentral:rRNA from 1 species
UACAGAGGUCUCAAGCGUUGUUCGGAUUCAUUGGGCGUAAAGGGUGUGUAGGUGGCGCCGUAAGUCGGGUGUGAAAUUUCGGAGCUUAACUCCGAAACUGCAUUCGAUACUGCGGUGCUUGAGGACUGGAGAGGAGACUGGAAUUCAUGGUGUAGCAGUGAAAUGCGUAGAGAUCAUGAGGAAGACCAGUGGCGAAGGCGGGUCUCUGGACAGUUCCUGACGCUGAGGCACGAAGGCCGGGGGAGCAAACGGG